UUGCCCCUACGGGGGGCAGCAGUGGGGGAUAUUGCACAAUGGGGGGAACCCUGAUGCAGCGACGCCGCGUGGGUGAAGAAGCGCCCCGGCGCGUAAAGCCUUGUCAGCAGGGAAGAAGAAGGACGGUACCUGACCAAGAAGCCCCGGCUAACUACGUGCCAGCAGCCGCGGUAAUACGUAGGGGGCAAGCGUUAUCCGGAUUUACUGGGUGUAAAGGGGGCGCAGACGGCG
rnacentral:rRNA from 1 species